UACGUAGGGUGCGAGCGUUGUCCGGAUUUAUUGGGCGUAAAGAGCUCGUAGGCGGUCUGUCGCGUCGGAUGUGAAAACCCAGGGCUCAACCCUGGGCCUGCAUUCGAUACGGGCAGACUAGAGUGUGGCAGGGGAGACUGGAAUUCCUGGUGUAGCGGUGAAAUGCGCAGAUAUCAGGAGGAACACCGAUGGCGAAGGCAGGUCACUGGGCCGCAACUGACGCUGAGGAGCGAAAGCAUGGGGAGCGAACAGG
rnacentral:rRNA from 1 species